ensembl:lncRNA
CGACCUUUUGGUUUUCUAUAAUCCGCCACACUUACUUAGAUCAAAAGAUGCAGGCUAUUUGACGGUACCUCGAAUAGUGAAGGCUACAGCAGGGGGAAGAGCUUUCGCUUAUAGACCCCCACUGUUAUGGAACAGUCUUCCAGUUAGUGUUCGGGACUUAGACACAGUCUCAGUGUUUAAGUCUAGGCUUAAAACGUAUUUGUUUACUCAAACCUACCCUGACUAGACUUUCUAUUAUGCUAAUUCCCAGUCCUAAUAAUCUUUUCUCUCCCUCUCUCCUUCUGUCGAGCCACACACGAUUUUAUGGAGAUACUAGAGAUCCUGAUCCUUUCUGAUCUCCGGACCUGCUUGAUCCUUUUCGGAUGUCCUGCCUCUGGAUGAAGCUCAAAUCUACUCCAAUUCCAGACUGCUGGGACUACGGCUGCUUUUAAGGCCAUACGGACUUCAUAUAAGUCAAUAAUGAACUUUUUCACAAUAUCUGUUGUUACCCAGAUGAGGAUGGGUUCCCUUCUGAGUCUGGUUCCUCUCAAGGUUUCUUCCUCUUAAAACAUCUUAGGGAGUUUUUCCUUGCCACCGUCGCCACUCAGUGGCUUGCUCAGCUGGGAUAAAUUCAAACCUUUAAUAUCUGUAUACUGUGUUGAUAUUUCUGUAAAGCUGCUUUGAGACAAUGUCUCAAUGUAUUGUAAAAAGCGCUAUACAAAUAAAAUUGAAUUAAAAUUUUUAUUGAAUUCCUGUGACUGAGCAAUAUUUCUAUGUGGAAAUAUGCAUCUUUUAGAACUAUAUUGGCAAUAAUACAAUACAAUAAUACUUGGGCUAACUGCCCUAAGAACCUCACAUCCCCUGAUACCUCCCUCAGUGACCCAUCAUAACUGCUCCUUCUUUGCCUGCAUGGCAUUGAGCACCAUUCUUAGAUCAGGCCUACUAGCAGGCUGCAACUGGGGGAAGCAGGCCACUACACUCACUUUCUGUACCUCCCUCACACUAGUACUGGGUGAACUCAACACCAAGGGGUACAGAACUGGCUGAACAUCAGCAUUUGCUGUUUCACAAAUACCUACUUUCAGUCAGAGAUUACCAUUCGUUUAUGCUAAAGAACAACAGAAUUUUGGGCACGUUUUUGAGCACGAAGGAAGCUCUACAUAGCAGAGGAUGGUUUCGAUCCAUCGACCUCUGGGUUAUGGGCCCAGCACGCUUCCGCUGCGCCACCCUGCUCGAUGCCAUUAUCAUUUGGGCCGAGAAUUCACAUUCCCUGGCUUUAGCGGUAAGUGCCUCAUCCAUUAGGCCACUGGGAUUCGGGAUUCAAACGACUAGCAUCAAGAGUACUAAUACUCAUCUUCACAUAAACCAAUGGAUUCUUGGUUAUCUUUCAGUUGGGGCAUGAAGCAGACAGGUCUCCUAAAUACAGGAUUUGUCUGCUACACAACUGCACUGACCACAAGCAGACCCUAAAAUCAAAAUGCCUUGGAGAGAGCCCUACUUUCAGUCAGAGAUUACCAUUCGUUUAUGCUAAAGAACAACAGAAUUUUGGGCACGUUUUUGAGCACAAAGGAAGCUCUACAUAGCAGAGGAUGGUUUCGAUCCAUCGACCUCUGGGUUAGGGGCCCAGCACGAUUCCGCUGCGCCACCCUGCUCGAUGCCAUUAUCAUUUGGGCCGAGAAUUCACAUUCCCUGGCUUUAGCGGUAAGUGCCUCAUCCAUUAGGCCACUGGGAUUCGGGAUUCAAACGACUAGCAUCAAGAGUACUAAUACUCAUCUUCACAGUAAACCAAUGGAUUCUUGGUUAUCUUUCAGUUGGGGCAUGAAGCAGACAGGUCUCCUAAAUACAGGAUUUGUCUGCUACACAACUGCACUGACCACAAGCAGACCCUAAAAUCAAAAUGCCUUGGAGAGAGCCCUACUUUCAGUCAGAGAUUACCAUUCGUUUAUGCUAAAGAACAACAGAAUUUUGGGCAUGUUUUUAAGCACAAAGGGAAGCUCUACAUAGCAGAGGAUGGUUUCGAUCCAUCGACCUCUGGGUUAUGGGCCCAGCACGCUUCCGCUGCGCCACCCUGCUCAAUGGUAAGUUUAUAGUUUAUAAGUUUGUCGUCCCAGAAGGAAGCCUCUUCUAAAGAUGAUGCACAAGAAAUCCCGCAAACAGUUUGCUGAAGACAAGCAGACUAAGGACAUGGAUUACUGGAACCAUGUCCUGUGAUCUGAUGAGACCAAGAUAAACUUAUUUGGUUCAGAUGGUUUCAAGCGUGUGUGGCAGCAACCACAUUUUUGUGUUGAUUUUGAU